rnacentral:rRNA from 1 species
AUAAGUAACGAUAAAGCGGGUGAAAAGCCCGCUCGCCGGAAGACCAAGGGUUCCUGUCCAACGUUAAUCGGGGCAGGGUGAGUCGACCCCUAAGGCGAGGCCGAAAGGCGUAGUCGAUGGGAAACAGGUUAAUAUUCCUGUACUUGGUGUUACUGCGAAGGGGGGACGGAGAAGGCUAUGUCAGCCGGGCGACGGUUGUCCCGGUUUAA